rnacentral:rRNA from 1 species
UACGUAGGGUGCAAGCGUUAAUCGGAAUUACUGGGCGUAAAGCGUGCGCAGGCGGUCUUGCAAGACAGAGGUGAAAUCCCCGGGCUUAACCUGGGAAUGGCCUUUGUGACUGCACGGCUAGAGUGUGUCAGAGGGGGGUAGAAUUCCACGUGUAGCAGUGAAAUGCGUAGAGAUGUGGAGGAAUACCGAUGGCGAAGGCAGCCCCCUGGGAUAACACUGACGCUCAUGCACGAAAGCGUGGGGAGCAAACAGG